rnacentral:lncRNA from 1 species
AGACUAAAUAGCUCAUGAAAGGUCAUUUACCAAAAUUUUAGAAGAUUCUUAAUUUUCUUUCUUUUGUUUUGGGACCCAAAUGAUACCAAUGCAAACAUAAGGUAAAAGUCCGAGUCAGCCUUUUCCCGCCAUAUUUUAAAUCUCAAAUAUCUCGAAUAGGAGGUCCAUGACCUAUCAAUAUUUUUAGCUUAUUUUUAUCCUUAAAGAAUGCUC